rnacentral:tRNA from 1 species
GAGGUUAUAGUUCAGUGGUAGAGCGCAUGCUUAGCAUGCACAAGGUCCUGGGUUCAAUCCCCAGUACCUCCA